UCCUAGCAGGUGGUAGACACCAACUGGAAGGAAAAAAUGUCAAUGAAAAGAAAUUUGCAAGUUUCAGCAAGUUGGGCCUGUUUUCUGCUUCCAUUUCUGAUGUCUUCCAAACCUCCGCCUGGAGACAGAACAACAUUCAAGUAUUUGUGAGACUCCAGAAUAUACCUGUGAGCCCUUGGAGGACCUCAAACUACUGUUUUGGAAGACCCCAGCCUCUUCCAGUGAUACACCGACCUUCAACUGAAUCCAAGGUAUGAUUAUCAGAAAUGACAUUGAGCCAAUGAACCAUGAUGCCAGCAGCCCUGUGGGAGUGACACCUAUGAACUGCUACAGGAGGAUUUCUGUCUCAGGGAAAUGUUGAGAGAGCAACUUUUUGCAUGGACUGAGGAUACCACAGAAGACAGGGAGAGAAGGAGACAACAUAAGAGCACUGGAAGCCCACAGAAAGCAUCCAAGUUCACCAGCUGCCAUUUGACUGAUUACAAUGAUGAUGAUGGAUGAUUAAGAAUAUGAUGAUAACAAAAGGCCACUGGAUUUAGAACAACUGGUCCUAUGUCAGAAACACAGUUUGCCGCUUCUCAUUCAUUAUUGCCUACUACCUACAUGUCCAUGGGAAAGUUAUUGUCCCCCCUCAGCCUCAGUUUCCUCAUCUGUAAAAAUAAGCACUUUGGCUCCAAAUCCUAUGAUCUCUUAAAAAAUAAAAAUGAAACAAAAGAUUUAGGGAAAGAUUAGUGUAAAU